rnacentral:rRNA from 1 species
AUUCCCCAGUAACGGCGAGUGAACAGGGAAAAGCUCAAAGUUGGAAGCUCCUGGCCCUAGGCUAGGCGCAUUGUAAACUAAAGCUGUAAAGUAGUUCGGUUGGCCUGGUAAAAAAGUUCCCUGGAAUGGGGCGACAUGGAGGGUGAAAUCCCCGUCUUUGGCCAGAGUUCAGCCGUGCGUUUGCUUUGCUGCGAAGAGUCAGGUUGUUUGGGAAUGCAGCCUAAAAUGGGAGGUAGACUUCUCCUAAAGCUAAAUAUUGACGAAAGACCGAUAGCGAACAAGUACCGUGAGGGAAAGAUGAAAAGCACUUUGAAAAGAGGGUCAAAAAGUACGUGAAAUUGCUGAAAGGGAACCGUAUGAAAUCAGCCUGAUGUGUGGGUAAUCAGCCUGGGCUUUGGCCUGGGUGCACUUGCCCAUGUAUUAGCCUGCGACAGUUUGACCUGGGGGAAAAAAGAUGGGGGAAUGUGGCCUCGGCUUCGGUCGUGGUGUUAUAGCCCCUGUCAAAAUACCUUGGGUUGGACUGAGGACUGCAGCGAGCCGUAAGGCAUGGGUCUCGGGCGCUCUGUCUCGGCGAAAAGUGAAUCUCUGCUUCGGGUGGUGCGCUUUUCUUCAGGGCAGACUCGUCUGUUUCUUCUUUCUCUCGCUUAGGUCGUAGGCAUAAUGAUUUUAUAUGACCCGUCUUGAAACACGGACCAAGGAGUCCACCAUAGUUGCGAGUCUUUGAGUGUAAAAACCCAUGGGCGUAAGGAAACUGACCAAGAUAUGAAGGCCUUUUUGCCUGCCAAAAUCCUCCCGGCCGAGGACCGUUUUUAUUACUGGAAUUGAUCGAGAAGAAAGCACCUAAUGAUGGGGACCCGGAAAGAAUGGUGGAACUAUUACUUUGAAUAGGGUGGAAGGCCAGGAGGAACUCCUGGGUGGAAGCUUCGUAGCCGAUUCUGGACGUGCAAUCGAUCGUCGAUUUGGGUUAUAGGGGGCGAAAAGACUAAUCGAAUCAUCUAGGUAGCUGGGUCUGCGAGU